ACCAAGCAACACAAGCAUGGAGAGAUCCAUCUCUGCUAGAUCCUAUGGAGUCGAUGACCACGAAGAAGGUCAAACUUGCCGAGGAUAGAUGAUACCCAUAAGGUCACUAGGCUUAGGAAGCCAUCCUCCGUCUCACACUAUGCCUUAGUAAUGGUGCCAAGAAGUGAAAGAACAUGACAUCCACCAAGCUCUAUUGCUCGGAACUUGGUGGGGGACCUUGGCUGCCUGAGGAAGGUUGGCAGCAGGCGCAAGGGAUCAACGAUGUCUCUACCUUGCUACACCUGCAUAACAGUACCCUCUUUCCAUUCUGUGGCCUCGGUCUCAUCUUCCUCUUGCUCCUCAUCUUUGUCCUCAUCUUCUUCAAGUGGGAUAAUGUAGCUGAGGUCGAACUUGGUGAAGCACCUCAUCACCUGGUGUCGGCAAUCGUAGAAGCCAUGUAGGUAGUUGUUGGUGUAGGCUGAAGUAAGAUCCUUCUAGGCAUCCUAAGAGGCCUUGUAUGCCUCUACAUUUUGAAGAACCUGGUCCUUGCUAGAAGAUGCUUGCUACUUGGCUGCCUGUUUCUCCUUCAUAGCCUUGGCAGCCCAGAACCGUGCUGCUUCGCACUGGGUCCACAAUCCCUUCUGCUCUACGUUCACGACUUUUAGCUGGGCUUCUAGCUUAUCCAUUCUCUUCCUCACCUUAUCCCUCUCCUACGCUACCUCCUAGGCAUGCUGUUGGAGCUAGCGAUACUGCUCAUGAAUGAGCGCAGUGUGGACAAUGCUCUAAUGAAAAAUGAGUUCUCAGCUAUAAAAUGGCUUAACCAAAGAUCAACGGAAUAUGAGAUGAUGCUCACCUCAAUAGUAGCUUAGAAAUCCCUAUGAAAAAAGCUCCUUGCAUCCCCAUCCUCUAGCCUUUUCUUGUUGACAGGGAGGAAGAUCCCCCUAAUUAGCUUCCGGGCCACCUUCAGACCUGUUAGAGCCGAGGCAGAAGAUUUCAUAGUCCACCUAGGCUGGUGGACCUCCCUCUUAGUAGCUGGGCGUGGAAGAG
rnacentral:lncRNA from 1 species